AAGGUCACCUUGGGGUAGCGCUCCCACUCGAAUCAAUUCGCGUCAAAAAUCGCAAUUCGAGCUGAAUUGCUUUUUUGAAAAUGCAAUUCGAGUUGAAUAUGAAUUGAUUCAAAUUGCCAAA